ACAGCCUGUCAAGUUAUAUGAUGUACUAUAUGAUUUCUAUCUUUGCCUUGAGUAUAAUACAGCUUAUAUUGGUUGUUUAGUGUCGAAAAUUUUAGUUGACACUUCUGUAUGUAUAUUUAUGUAUGUUCUGUUAUUCACAUAUUUGCAGUUAUUUGCAUUUUGCCAUUGUUGCUGAUUUUCUGUGGUAAAAAAAAUGUUUUGGAUAAAAUAAGCAAUCAUCUUGAAAUAAUAUAAUAAAGAAUAUAACUAAUAUCAGCUUUAUUUUAAACUAUUUAAGUCUUGCUUUUUUAUGAGAUAUUGGAAUUGUUGGAUGUCCAUUGACCAUGCUUCCACAGUUUCUAUAAGAACAUUUCAUAAUGAAUCACCAAGCUAAUUUCAACCAAACCUCACAGAAAUGUUUUUUUGCAGUCCUCUUAUUUAGGUCAUCCAUGCAAUCUAGUUGUCAUGAUAACCAAAAGAAAAAGGCCUCUCCUCAGAAAUCUCUGGCUGGCUUUCUAAAUAAAUUCAUAGCAAUUUUCUUUUAUAACCUAACAUUUUCCUUUGAUUUUUUUAUUUGUUUAAAAAAAAUAGUCUGCCAAGAGGAAGGGCUAGUUUUUAGCUCACCUGAGCCAAAGGCUCAUGGUGAGCUUUUGUGACCGGUCAAUGUCUGUAUGCAGCUUGCAGCCAUCAACAAUUUCUAAAAAUCUUCUUGAAAACCACUGGGCAGAAUUAUACCAGACUUCACAGGAAUGAUCCUUGGGUGGCCCCCUUUCAAAAUUGUUCAAAGAAUUGAAUUACAUUUAGAACUUUGGUUGCCAUGGCAACCGAAAGGAAAAACUUAAAAAAUCUUCUUGUCUAAAACCACAAGGCCUAGGCCUUUGAUAUUUGGAUGUUGCAUUGCCUUGUGGUCCUCUACUAAACUUGUUCAAAUUAUAACCCUGGGGUGAAAAGAGGCCCCACCCUGGGGGUCACAAGUUUUACAUAGACUUAUAUAGGAAAAAACUUUAAAAAUCUUCUUGUCUGAAAGCAAAAUUGUUCAAAUGAUAACCCUGAUGUGAAAAGAGGCCCAGCCCUGGGGGGUCUCAAGUUUUACAUAGACUUAUAUAGGAAAAAACUUUAAAAAUCUUCUUGCCUUAAACUGCAAGGCCUAGGCUUUUGAUAUUUGGUAUGUUGCAUUGCCUUGUGGUCCUCUACCAAAAUUGUUCAAAUUAUGCCCCUUGGGUUUAAAGAGGCCCUGCCCUGGGGGUCCCAAAUUAAACAUAGACUUAUGUAGGGACAAAAAAUCUUCUUGUCUGAAAGUUCAAGGCCUAGGCCUUUCAUAUUUGAUAUGUAGCAUGGCCUAGUGGAUUUCUAACAAGAUUCUUCAAAUUAUGCCCCUGGGGUGAAAAGAGGCACUGCCCUGGAGGUCACUUGUUAUAUGAGUUAUAUAGGAAUAAAUACUUAAAAAAUUAUCAGAUCAUAUUUCCUAGACUGUUUAAUUAUAAUUACCUGAUGACAACAAGCGAUUAGGGGGUCACUUGACUGUGACUUUGACCUACUGACCUACUUUCUUGUUUUUUUAAGAUACAGCCUUGAAAUUUGGAUAUCUUGUACAGUUUUGCACAUUGAUCUUAAAACUGACUUUCAGUGACCAUGAAUGUGACCUACUUUCUAAUAUUUUAGCAUCAGUGUGCCAUUUUAAACAUGUGGCUCAUAUUACUCAGGUGAGCGAUUCAGGGUCAUCAUGACCCUCUUGUUUUCUAUAUAGUUAUAUAGAAAAGUUUGAAAAUCUCUUAAACCACAGUUUCCAUUUCAAAAUAAUUUUACUGAAAUUUACCUUACAUUUAUGGUUUUUGAAUUACUGAAAAUUGUUGAAUUUUGAAUCAUAUGAUAGUAAUUUAUUUCCAAAUCAGUUAUUUCGAAAUGAUGCUCUCCAAAGAAUUACAACACAGCCACAGAAUUAAAAUUCCAUUUGUAAACACAGGUGCUAGUUUAAAGUAAUUUGCUAUGAUGGGCAUAUAUUGUGACAUUCUAGCACUCUUGUUUAUAUAUAUAGUGAAAAUUUUGAGAAUCUUCUUGUCAUUUUUCAUUUCAAAAUAUUCCUUAGGUAACCCUCUAACAAUAUCCCUUAAGGGAAGCAAUGGUUUUCUGCCACUCAGCCUGAGGGUCGUGGGUACCCACUGGGGUCACAAUCAUGCCUUCUCAGAUUAUAUCAAUACUGGUUUUUCUAGGAACUAUACUCGAGAAUGGUUCAAAUACUGGUAAUUAAGCUUAAAGCUUUCAUCACAGUUGAGCUAAAAUAAAUUAGAACAAACUAAAUUACAAUUUCCCCUUAAUUGUUUUGUCAAAAAUACAGCCACACCAGUGCUACCUUUAAACAACUUCUCAUGAAGAAAUUGAUGGAUCUUUCCCAAACUUUCUCUGUGGCAUCCUGGUAUGGUCGUCUCUCAAGUUUGUUCAGUUGGUCGCAGCUAGAGCUACAAGUAGAAAAAUACUUUUAAACAACUUUUAAUAAACCACUGUUCUAAUGUUGGAUGAACCUUUCUCAGUUUUAUUUUAAACAUUAAUGAGCCAUGUUAUGGGAAAACCAACAUAGCUGGUCUGGACCCAUGCUGUCGCAAAGCCACUAUGUUGGUUUUCCCAUGGCACGGCUCAUUUCAUCUUGACUGAAGAUAGGGACUGUCAGAGCUUGAAAAAUAGAACAAUCCUUAAACAACUUCUUCUCAUGAACUUGAUGGACCAAUUCUGGCUAGACCUCUAGCAAGUUUGCUUUAUUGGUUAAGCAUUUUAGGGCCAUCAAAGCAAAUCAAUAAAAAAAAGAUUGAAAAAGUUUAACAUUACUUUUAAUGAACUGCUUCCUGGACAUUCACCAGACUUGACCAAAAGCAAAGUCAAAAUAUCAAAGUUAUCAUGUGAGCAACUUAUGCCCAUUUGAGUCUCUUGUUUCAAAAACAUUUUAAAUUAUUUAUAAUCAUUUUGAUAUACUGUGUGAAUAACUUGAAGCUUUGAAGUAUCGACCAAAAUAAAGCAUAUUUUUGAAAUGGCACAGAUGUGUUUAAUACAAUUUGCAAGACCACAAGUUGGCCAUGUUUU